rnacentral:rRNA from 1 species
GGGAAUCUUGCGCAAUGGACGAAAGUCUGACGCAGCCACGCCGCGUGAGUGAAGAAGGCCUUCGGGUUGUAAAGCUCUGUCGGAGGGGACAAAAACGUUUAGGGUUAAUAGCCCUAGAUCCUGAUGGUACCCUUAAAGGAAGCACCGGCUAACUUCGUGCCAGCAGCCGCGGUAAUACGAAGGGUGCAAGCGUUGCUCGGAAUUAUUGGGCGUAAAGGGUAGGUAGGUGGUGACAUUUGUCUGGGGUGAAAUCCCUGAGCUUAACUCAGGAAGUGCCUUGGAAACGGUGUCACUAGAGUACUGGAGAGGUUCGCAGAAUUCUAGGUGUAGCGGUGAAAUGCGUAGAGAUCAAGAGGAAUACCAGAGGCGAAGGCGGCGAACUGGACAGUAACUGACACUGAACUACGAAAGCGUGGGGAGCAAA